GGGACAGUAGCUCAGUUGGUUAGAGCUCUAUUUAGGAGAUUUAUAAUUAUCGUCAAAGGUCAAAUACAUCUUACUUCCUUUCAGGGUAUAGCGGUCGCAGGUUCGAGUCCUGCCUGUUCCA
rnacentral:tRNA from 1 species